AAAUUGAAGAGUUUGAUCAUGGCUCAGAUUGAACGCUGGCGGCAGGCCUAACACAUGCAAGUCGAACGGUAACAGGAAGCAGCUUGCUGCUUCGCUGACGAGUGGCGGACGGGUGAGUAAUGUCUGGGAAACUGCCUGAUGGAGGGGGAUAACUACUGGAAACGGUGGCUAAUACCGCAUAACGUCGCAAGACCAAAGAGGGGGACCUUCGGGCCUCUUGCCAUCAGAUGUGCCCAGAUGGGAUUAGCUUGUUGGUGAGGUAACGGCUCACCAAGGCGACGAUCCCUAGCUGGUCUGAGAGGAUGACCAGCCACACUGGAACUGAGACACGGUCCAGACUCCUACGGGAGGCAGCAGUGGGGAAUAUUGCACAAUGGGCGCAAGCCUGAUGCAGCCAUGCCGCGUGUAUGAAGAAGGCCUUCGGGUUGUAAAGUACUUUCAGCGGGGAGGAAGGUGUUGUGGUUAAUAACCGCAGCAAUUGACGUUACCCGCAGAAGAAGCACCGGCUAACUCCGUGCCAGCAGCCGCGGUAAUACGGAGGGUGCAAGCGUUAAUCGGAAUUACUGGGCGUAAAGCGCACGCAGGCGGUCUGUCAAGUCGGAUGUGAAAUCCCCGGGCUCAACCUGGGAACUGCAUUCGAAACUGGCAGGCUUGAGUCUUGUAGAGGGGGGUAGAAUUCCAGGUGUAGCGGUGAAAUGCGUAGAGAUCUGGAGGAAUACCGGUGGCGAAGGCGGCCCCCUGGACAAAGACUGACGCUCAGGUGCGAAAGCGUGGGGAGCAAACAGGAUUAGAUACCCUGGUAGUCCACGCCGUAAACGAUGUCUACUUGGAGGUUGUGCCCUUGAGGCGUGGCUUCCGGAGCUAACGCGUUAAGUAGACCGCCUGGGGAGUACGGCCGCAAGGUUAAAACUCAAAUGAAUUGACGGGGGCCCGCACAAGCGGUGGAGCAUGUGGUUUAAUUCGAUGCAACGCGAAGAACCUUACCUGGUCUUGACAUCCACGGAACUUUCCAGAGAUGGAUUGGUGCCUUCGGGAACUGUGAGACAGGUGCUGCAUGGCUGUCGUCAGCUCGUGUUGUGAAAUGUUGGGUUAAGUCCCGCAACGAGCGCAACCCUUAUCCUUUGUUGCCAGCGGUUAGGCCGGGAACUCAAAGGAGACUGCCAGUGAUAAACUGGAGGAAGGUGGGGAUGACGUCAAGUCAUCAUGGCCCUUACGACCAGGGCUACACACGUGCUACAAUGGCGCAUACAAAGAGAAGCGACCUCGCGAGAGCAAGCGGACCUCAUAAAGUGCGUCGUAGUCCGGAUUGGAGUCUGCAACUCGACUCCAUGAAGUCGGAAUCGCUAGUAAUCGUGGAUCAGAAUGCCACGGUGAAUACGUUCCCGGGCCUUGUACACACCGCCCGUCACACCAUGGGAGUGGGUUGCAAAAGAAGUAGGUAGCUUAACCUUCGGGAGGGCGCUUACCACUUUGUGAUUCAUGACUGGGGUGAAGUCGUAACAAGGUAACCGUAGGGGAACCUGCGGUUGGAUCACCUCCUUACCUUAAAGAA
rnacentral:rRNA from 1 species